CACACCACCGCUCACACCACACCACCGCUCACACCACACGACCGCUCACACCACACCACCACCGCAACACUGCGCGCUGCCAACCAGACCGAUUUUGUCUCUCGACAUUGUGGGAAGCAUCUUCCUCUUCACGCGACUUUGAUAUCGUGAAAAAUGUCACGAGCGUUUGCACCCUCAACCACCGUUCCACUGUUUUGUUCUCACAAUUAUUUCCUUUAAAAUUCCAGGAGCGUGGGAAUAUUUUUUUAAAUUAAAGUUGGGUGGCGGGUGCAGUUGGGUGAUGGGCGCAAUUAUCCAAUGAUAUUAGUUAAUUAAUGGGUCGAAAUAAUUAGGGUUAUAAUCACAAUGACAAUGAUCCAUCGGUCCGUGCUUAGUUGAGUAAUUAUGAAAAACUAUAUUUUACUAAUUCAAUAGCCAGCACUGUAGUAUGAAGGCUAGUGUGCAAUCAUUUUCCUCGGUCCAUGAGGGAUUCUGAGUCUACGUCACUUUUUAAAUCACUGUCUUAAAACUCCACCUAUUGAUACAGCAGGAUUUCCCCCGUAACUUAACAUUUAAAAACAACGUUACUGUCUGAUUGGAUUACUCUGUAAUUGUUAUUAUUAGCUUGUAUCGCAGUUCUUUAUUUUAUUGGAAUUUCGAGAGUAGUCAUUGAUAUGUUUUUAAAAAUCAGCUUUCAAUUUCGCUUAGAAAUUGAAAGCUGAUUUAUUUACUUGUGUGUACAGCGCGUUGAGAUACUUCAAUAUGGAGGCGUGUUUAUAAAAUAGAGAUUAUUAUUGUUGUUAUCGUUAUGUUUCUUUGUCUAGGAAAGCCUCACGGAGUCUCAAUACUAUUUUUCUUUUUUCAGGAGGGUCCUGCCAAGUGUUUGUCGAAGUGAUGGCGCGCGGUGACACCACUGCUGCUGCUACUGCUGCUGUAUGAUGUCCAGUCGAGUAACUUGCAGUGACACCACUGCUGCUACUGCUGCUGUAUGAUGCCCAGUCGAGUAACUUGUGGUGACACCACUGCUGCUGCUACUGUAUGAUGCCCAGUCGAGUAACUUGCGGUGACACCACUGCUGCUGCUACUGUAUGAUGCCCAGUCGAGUAACUUGAGGUGACACCACUGCUGCUGCUACUGUAUGAUGCCCAGUCGAGUAACCUGGGGUGACACCACUGCUGCUGCUACUGUAUGAUGCCCAGUCGAGUAACUUGAGGUGACACCACUGCUGCUGCUACUGUAUGAUGCCCAGUCGAGUAACUUGAGGUGACACCACUGCUGCUGCUACUGCUGCUGUAUGAUGCCCAGUCGAUCAACUUGAGGUGACACCACUGCUGCUACUGCUGCUGUAUGAUGCCCAGUCGAGUAACUUGCAUUGACACCACUGCUGCUACUGCUGCUGUAUGAUGUCCAGUCGAGUAACUUGCAGUGACACCACUGCUGCUGCUGCUACUGCUGUAUGAUGCCCAGUCGAGUAACUUGCGGUAACACCACUGCUGCUACUGCUGCUGUAUGAUGUCCAGUCGAGUAACUUGCGGUGACACCACUGCUGCUGCUACUGCUGCUGUAUGAUGUCCAGUCGAGUAACUUGCGGUGACACCACUGCGGCUGCUACUGCUGCUGUAUGAUGCCCAGUCGAGUAACUUGUGGUGACACCACUGCUGCUACUGCUGUAUGAUGCCCAGUCGAGUAACUUGCGGUGACACCACUGCUGCUACUGCUGUAUGAUGCCCAGUCGAGUAACUUGCGGUAACACCACUGCUGCUACUGCUGCUGUAUGAUGUCCAGUCGAGUAACUUGCGGUGACACCACUGCUGCUGCUACUGCUGUAUGAUGCCCAGUCGAGUAACUUGAGGUGACACCACUGCUGCUGCUACUGCUGCUGUAUGAUGCCCAGUUGAGUAACUUGAGGUGACACCACUGCUGCUGCUACUGCUGUAUGAUGCUCAGUCGAUCAACUUGCGGUGACACCACUGCUGCUACUGCUGCUGUAUGCUGCCCAGUCGAGUAACUUGUGGUGACACCACUGCUGCUACUGCUGUAUGAUGCUCAGUCGAUCAACUUGCGGUGACACCACUGCUGCUACUGCUGCUGUAUGAUGCCCAGUCGAUCAACUUGCAGUGACACCACUGCUGCUACUGCUGCUGUAUGAUGCCCAGUCGAGUAACUUGUGGUGACACCACUGCUGCUACUACUGCUGUAUGAUGCCCAGUCGAGUAACUUGUGGUGACACCUCUGCUGCUACUGCUGCUGUAUGAUGCCCAGUCGAGUAACCUGUGGUGACACCACUGCUGCUGCUACUGCUGCUGUAUGAUGCCCAGUCAGUAACUUGAGGUGACACCACUGCUGCUGCUACUGCUGCUGUAUGAUGCCCAGUCGAGUAACUUGUGGUGACACCACUGCUGCUACUGCUGCUGUAUGAUGCCCAGUCGAGUAACCUGUGGUGACACCACUGCUGCUGCUACUGUUGCUGUAUGAUGCCCAGUCGAGUAACUUGAGGUGACACCACUGCUGCUGCUACUGCUGCUGUAUGAUGCCCAGUCGAGUAACUUGCGGUGACAACACUGCUGCUAAUGCUGUAUGAUGCCCAGUCGAGUAACUUGCAGUGACACCACUGCUGCUGCUACUGCUGUAUGAUGUCCAGUCGAGUAACCUGGGGUGACACCACUGCUGCUAAUGCUGUAUGAUGCCUAGGCGAGUAACUUGCGGUGACACCACUGCUGCUGCUGCUGUAUGAUGCCCAGUCGAGUAACCUGUGGUGACACCACUGCUGCUGCUACUGCUGCUGUAUGAUGCCCAGUCGAGUAACUUUCGGUGACACCACUGCUGCUACUGCUGCUGUAUGAUGCCCAGGCAAGUAACUUUUGGUGACACCACUGCUGCUGCUUCUGCUGCUGUAUGAUGCCCAGUCGAGUAACCUGUGGUGACACCACUGCUGCUGCUACUGCUGUAUGAUGCCCAGUCGAGUAACUUGCGGUGUAACUGUCCAGCUUUGAGCUGUGCUCGCUGCAUUGCCCAUUCUUCCUUACCACCCCCCACCUCCGAUUAGAGCGGUUGGCUAUGUGCAGUGCAAAGGAAGCUCAAAAUACACGGAUACAUCCGUGAACCAUGAUGGUUUCGACAGUUUGAACGUGGAACAAGCAAGGGCUCGACUUCACUCUCGAUAUCGCCCAGAGCGCUGCUAUAGGCUAGCUUAGUGUGGGGAUUAUCGGGGUAAGGCACUACCACUACGCUUAUCCACAACAAUCCUCUAUUAAUCUGUACCCUUUGUUAAUUCCUAUAAUCUUUAAAUGAGCAAACAGGCUGAUGGGUACCGUGAGAUGGAGGACAGCGAUCUCUCGCUGUGGUAUCACUCAAACAGAGAGCCACUCUCUCCGGCUUAGCUGGACGCGGAAUCGCGUGCCCUCGGCCGCGCCACGGGGCUUCCCGCGUCGCGGCGCCGAUCUGUCUUGAUUUAUUUUCCAUAAUCCGUGUUGUCAACUCCUUAAAUGACUUUCAGAUAUUGCCUUCUCAUACCCCCCCCCCCAACUUCUCUAUUGCUUUCCCAGCCCUCCUCCCUCCCUCUUCCCCCCGAACCCCACCGCCUCUCUCUCUCUCCCCCGAGGAAAAAUGACCCUAAUCACGAGAGGAAAGGAUAUGAUCAACAGCGGUCGUGAUGACUUCACGCCGGCUGAGUUUGCUCUCGCUAGUCCAGAAUUCGACAUUAGAGCACAUUACUGUGUGCGUGUCUGUGUGCGUGUCUAUGUGCGUAUCUGUGUGUGUGUAUGUGUUGAGAGGGGGGAGCGAUAGUGUAUCAGUUGGCGCGCUGCGCUACAAACUCGGCGACCCCGAGUUAAGUUUCUGCAAACGGCCACCGACACCAGUGACGAAUAUCUGAACCCCUGUGCUGGGCCACCCCAAGAUCGACUCAGCCUUAAAUGAUUACCUGGUAUUGUAUGUAAGCAUCAGCAUCGGGGAGACAGGCGGCCUGGCGUGGUACUGGUCACCCACCCCUCGUGUGCCGUGCUGGCACUGAUAGGUGCUGGCUAACAGUACUUGCCCCAUUCGUCUGUUUAAGGCUAUACGGGCGACCAUUGCCUUUGUGUGUUGGGGGGAGCGGCGGUGCAGUGAUUAUCACACUCCGCUAUGAGUUCCGGCGAACAGAGUUCGAUUUCCGGCCACGGAUAACAUUAGUGGGGAGUAGUUCCUGAAGCGGUGCAGGACCCUCCUCUAGAUCAACUCAGCCUUAAUAUGACUAGCUGGUAGGGUGUGUGUGUGAACAUCAGCGUUGGGGAGACAAAGGCAGCCCGGCGUGAUCCCUGACCACUCCACUCACUUCACCCUCGUCCCAGCAUCUGGCUGCAGAGUAGCUCUCGGUCUAGUUGAGUGCAUUACAUCACAUGCGUUUUGUUGCAAUUCUAAUGACAAUAACACCAACAUACGAAUUAUCAUGUUGCAAUUAGUCGUCCAGUUCUAUCCCAACGGUGCCGUGGGUGUCAUGAGAUGGCGAACGCAUUCCGAACUCUUCCUCAAACCAGGGCAUCCACUCCGUGCUAGAGCAUGGCACGCGGAAGCGGAUAUCACAGAACUACUUCGGAAAUCUGAAGUGACUGACCUCUGUUCCGCUCCCAAGUGGUGUGGGGCAUGACAGUCUGCCGUUUUGCUCUUCGUGUCCCGAUCUGUAGUUUAAAUAAAUUAAUCGCGAACCCGAAGCUAAUGAACACGAUCAUUCUUGUGUUCGUGCAGGCAUGAGCGAGAGCCAGGUUUAAUCGGCUGUGGAGCCCGGGUUCGAACCUAGGUCCUCAGCGGUGCCGGCUCAGCUCUUGACAUCGAAGCCACGUGGCCACCGUCUCUUGUGACUGCUUCCUCCCCUCUUGCCGCACAACUCAACCCGAGGCUCAUUGCAUCUCCGAGGUCACCGAUUCCUGCUACUUAAGCCACAACUUUUGCGCCCCACUGGGUGCUCCGCCACCCCCCCCUCCCACUCCCCUCUUCCCCCCUCCCUUACCAUUAUCCCCUCCCUCUCUCCCCCAUCCCCUGCACCCCUCGGGCCCCCAGAGAUCUCAUUUCGGAGUUUGUCAAAUAUCACUGCACUUCACUGCGCUGGGGGAGGGAGCUUUUGCCUCCAGCUGAUGACGAAAGAGGCAAGGCGCCCACGAGUCUCCUCCACUCGCACCUCGGAGGUGCGGGGGAAGGACAACAAACUAGGCACAAACGAGAGGCUGCACGCAGGUGGCACGUAACGAUACACUGGGAUUGCCGGAGGGUAGAUACACUAGUGACGUGAUGCGAUUGGAUUGUAAGAGGGAGGAGGCUGCAGGCCAGCCACGGUGUCACGCUGGAGUUGACGUUCGAGGUGGCUCUGGCGAGGCCCCAAGGCACGCGGUACCGUCAGGAGGAUUGCUGGAGGCUUUGCACAUAGCCUCUACCAUCACCAACACACUGAAUGACUCAACACGCUGAAGGACUCGACACACUGAAUGACUCUACAACAUGAAUGAUUCGACACACUGAACGGCUGAAUUCGACACACUGAACGUGAACCACAAGACGCCGGGGAUCCUCACGAGUCGAUCCAUCACGGCUCCAGCACGAGCCGCCCGUCUCUUUGGGACCAAUAAAGGCGAAGAGGGUCUCGAGGCAUGGAGACACGCGUCUCAUGGCGCCUCGCAGUGUCUCACCUCGUCUCAUCUUGACUCACCGUGUCUCAUCUUGACUCACCGUGUCUACAUUGUCUCACCAUGUCGCAACAAUUUAUGUGGGCGGACAACCUGCUGCUGUUGAGCCAAGUGACUCACACCGGGCAUCAUAAUGUCCGUCUUCUAAGUGUCCCAUGUGUGCACGAAUCCGAACAAAGACAAAUAUCCCCGACACGUGCUCUUAGCGAGCACUUAAUAAGGCUAGAAAUGUGCACGUGGGGUGCUGUGGUCAGAACCCGCGCCCUGUCACCUCUCUAUACCCAAUGCUGUGUUUUUGUUUUAAACGACGCACCAGGUGCUCAUUCAAGGCUGAGUCAGCCGAGUCAAGGGCCAAUCAUAGGUUCAGGAAUCACUCGUGCAAGCCUUGGCUGCGAGAAUCGAACUCGGGUGGCCAGGGGUUGUUAGCGCGGCGUGCCCUAAGAUGCAAUACGCCACAGCUCCCCAUACAAACACACAAAUGCAAAGAUCCCCCGUGGAGCUUCAAAAUAUUUUUGGGGCAAGUGCUGUUAGCGAGCACCUACGAAGGCGGGCACGGA